UGCAGUCGUACGAUAGAUAGACACACGCUUGCUGGGUGGAUUAGUGGCGAACGGGUGAGUAACACGUGAGUAACCUGCCCUUAACUCUGGGAUAAGCCUGGGAAACUGGGUCUAAUACCGGAUAGGAGCGCCUACCGCAUGGUGGGUGUUGGAAAGAUUUAUCGGUUUUGGAUGGACUCGCGGCCUAUCAGCUUGUUGGUGAGGUAAUGGCUCACCAAGGCGACGACGGGUAGCCGGCCUGAGAGGGUGACCGGCCACACUGGGACUGAGACACGGCCCAGACUCCUACGGGAGGCAGCAGUGGGGAAUAUUGCACAAUGGGCGCAAGCCUGAUGCAGCGACGCCGCGUGAGGGAUGACGGCCUUCGGGUUGUAAACCUCUUUCAGUAGGGAAGAAGCGAAAGUGACGGUACCUGCAGAAGAAGCACCGGCUAACUACGUGCCAGCAGCCGCGGUAAUACGUAGGGUGCGAGCGUUAUCCGGAAUUAUUGGGCGUAAAGAGCUCGUAGGCGGUUUGUCGCGUCUGUCGUGAAAGUCCGGGGCUUAACCCCGGAUCUGCGGUGGGUACGGGCAGACUAGAGUGCAGUAGGGGAGACUGGAAUUCCUGGUGUAGCGGUGGAAUGCGCAGAUAUCAGGAGGAACACCGAUGGCGAAGGCAGGUCUCUGGGCUGUAACUGACGCUGAGGAGCGAAAGCAUGGGGAGCGAACAGGAUUAGAUACCCUGGUAGUCCAUGCCGUAAACGUUGGGCACUAGGUGUGGGGACCAUUCCACGGUUUCCGCGCCGCAGCUAACGCAUUAAGUGCCCCGCCUGGGGAGUACGGCCGCAAGGCUAAAACUCAAAGGAAUUGACGGGGGCCCGCACAAGCGGCGGAGCAUGCGGAUUAAUUCGAUGCAACGCGAAGAACCUUACCAAGGCUUGACAUGUUCUCGAUCGCCGUAGAGAUACGGUUUCCCCUUUGGGGCGGGUUCACAGGUGGUGCAUGGUUGUCGUCAGCUCGUGUCGUGAGAUGUUGGGUUAAGUCCCGCAACGAGCGCAACCCUCGUUCCAUGUUGCCAGCACGUAAUGGUGGGGACUCAUGGGAGACUGCCGGGGUCAACUCCGGAGGAAGGUGAGGACGACGUCAAAUCAUCAUGCCCCUUAUGUCUUGGGCUUCACGCAUGCUACAAUGGCCGGUACAAUGGGUUGCGAUACUGUGAGGUGGAGCUAAUCCCAAAAAGCCGGUCUCAGUUCGGAUUGGGGUCUGCAACUCGACCCCAUGAAGUCGGAGUCGCUAGUAAUCGCAGAUCAGCAACGCUGCGGUGAAUACGUUCCCGGGCCUUGUACACACCGCCCGUCAAGUCACGAAAGUCGGUAACACCCGAAGCC
rnacentral:rRNA from 1 species